CUCAAUUUGGGGGCUUUUAAGUCUGAAUCAGUUUUGACUGCUCUUUUUAAAAUCUCAUGAUUCUUCAUCAACCCCACAGUAGAUCUGAAAACCAAUGCUCCACCAGCUUACUGAAAGCAACAGCUUAACAGCCUAGAAGGUGAAAUAACAGAGUGAGAUCACAUUUAAAACCCAAUUCCCAGGUUCUUUCUGCUUGAAAAGCAACAACGAAACUGAAGGGUUUACCUGAUUGCUGGAGCAAAUGAAAAUGAUUGGUAUUGAUGCACUAAAGGUCAAAGCAUAAUAAUCUCCUUCAAGUUUGGAGGAAUCUUGACUGAGGAAAGAAGUGUACAGCACAGCUGCUACUGCAGCCUCCAGUGGGUCUUGGAAUAGUCAAGCUCAUCCUCGGGAUAUAAGGGCCUGUCAUGGCUACUGUGUUCCUUCGUUCUCCCCCGCUCCUCUCCAUCAGGCUUCUCCAGAGUUAAUUAAAGCCUGAUCAGCUGUGCCAGGGCAAGCCCCACGUGCACACUUGGCUUCUGGUUUCCAGUGUACUCUGUCUGAUGCCCUCGUCUUGA